rnacentral:lncRNA from 1 species
CAAUUACUUUUUCUUUCUUUAUUAUUUGGACAUAGCUGCAACAUACAGAGCCAGAAUUUAAAGUUUAUGAAUUUUAAAUUAACCUCGGAAACCAUAACUUAUAAUUGGAUCGAUUAAAUAUUUAUAUAUAUUUAACAAAAUUUCUAAUACAAAUAUUAUAUUUAAACAAAAGUAAUUGGAUCGGCUCAACCCUAACUAAUAGGCUAGCUCCGCUUCUUGCAACAUAGUUAACUAGGUGGUGGUGAACGUGGUGCUCAUGGACUUGCUGAUUCUGGUGGAGGUGGUGGUGCUGCUUCUCCAACUGGUGGUGGAGAUGGUGGUGAUAGCUGCGGUGGAAGCUGUUGUGCCCUAGGAUUAGGAGGGGCAAACAUAAAAAGAUUCCUAUUUUUUUCUGGUGAUGGCGGUGUUACUUUGUCUCUUAAUUCUCUGGCAAUUCCUUGUAAGAAUAAUAAUGCAGCUUCCACACAAUGGCUGGAGAUGAACAAACAUAUCAGUAGAAAUGAAAUUAUAUUUGACUUCAUAAUUCUUUCAAAUUGUGAUGUAUGGAAUUAAGUGAGAAUUAUGAAUAUAUAUAAUAUAAUUGUGUUAUUUAAGGGGAUGAGCCUUAUCUCACUUAUAGAAUCUUCUCUUUCACUUUUAGCAAUUUUAGGUAUUACGUACAA